rnacentral:rRNA from 1 species
CAGUAGCCACGGUAAUACAGAGGGUGCGAGCGUUAAUCGGAUUUACUGGGCGUAAAGCGUGCGUAGGCGGCUUUUUAAGUCGGAUGUGAAAUCCCUGAGCUUAACUUAGGAAUUGCAUUCGAUACUGGGAAGCUAGAGUAUGGGAGAGGAUGGUAGAAUUCCAGGUGUAGCGGUGAAAUGCGUAGAGAUCUGGAGGAAUACCGAUGGCGAAGGCAGCCAUCUGGCCUAAUACUGACGCUGAGGUACGAAAGCAUGGGGAGCAAACAGGAUUAGAUACCCGGGUAGUCCCUGUCUCUUAUAC